UCUCAGAGCUGAAGCGGAGCUACUACAACUGAACCACCUAGCUUGUGGGAAAAUGAUUCUGUGCUUGGUGGUGAAAUGCUUGCAAGGCUGUCUGGUGCUGAGUGGUGUCAUCGCAGAAGCUGGGUGGUCUUUUCUGCUAAAGUCUGUUACUGCUGCUGCUGCUGCUGCUGCUAAGUCGCUUCAGUCGUGUCCGACUCUGUGCGACCCCAUAGACGGCAGCCCACCAGGCCUCCCUGUCCCUGGGAUUCUCCAGGCAAGAACACUGGAGUGGGGUGCCAUUGUCUUCUCUACUGUUAAAGUCUAGAAGCCCUCUAUGCCCCCACUCCUAUUACUGGAGCCCUCCAAACCAUUUCCAGUUUGGUGCUGCCCUAUUGAAAUAGAUGUUUGCUCAAAUAAACUUAAAAAUUUUAACAUG